AGUGAACGCUGGCGGUAGGCCUAACACAUGCAAGUCGAACGGCAGCACAGGAGAGCUUGCUCUCUGGGUGGCGAGUGGCGGACGGGUGAGGAAUACAUCGGAAUCUACUUUUUCGUGGGGGAUAACGUAGGGAAACUUACGCUAAUACCGCAUACGACCUACGGGUGAAAGCAGGGGAUCUUCGGACCUUGCGCGAUUGAAUGAGCCGAUGUCGGAUUAGCUAGUUGGCGGGGUAAAGGCCCACCAAGGCGACGAUCCGUAGCUGGUCUGAGAGGAUAUGCGGACACACUGGAAAUGAGACACGGUCAAGACUCCUACGGGAGGCAGCAGUGGGGAAUAUUGGACAAGGGGCGCAAGCCUGAGCCAGCCAUACCGCGUGGGUGAAGAAGGCCUUCGGGUUGUAAAGCCCUUUUGUUGGGAAAGAAAUCCAGCUGGUUAAUACCCGGUUGGGAUGACGGUACCCAAAGAAUAAGCACCGGCUAACUUCGUGCCAGCCGCCGCCGUAA
rnacentral:rRNA from 1 species